AUAAUUCCGGCACAGAGUAACAAUAAACGAAGCAAUAACUCCUUCGGGUUUAUUCAGACUCCAGGACCUCGGCCCGUCAGACAACCGAUCCUCUCUGUCUGCGAAAUAUUCCCAUUCGUUCAAUCUCCUGUAAAGUUUUCGGGUUAUAUUAUGCGGCGCGUCUUCCGAGUAAUCCGCGGACUACUCAAGGGUAUUUUUCCCUAUUGAGUUCUGCACUUCAAGCGAGCAGUCUAGCGGAUUUCGGCUUUCAAAAUUGGAAAAUAUCAAUGGAAAAAGAAUGCUUUU